GAACACAAAGCCACACACAUAAAUAACGACGGGGCGGAAGAAGAGGGUGCAGAUGGUGUGUGACACUGCCGUCCACACCGGCGAACCCAGAGUCACUUUUCAGAAAUCAGCAACAAGGAGGAGAGCAGAAGCCAAGAGACAGGCCCUGGACACCGCCGGCGGCGACCCGCGGGAAGGCAGGAGUGGAAGCCCAGAGAGCAAGCUCUGGCCUUCAGCCUCUCCCCAUGCUCUGCACUUGGGUGAUGCCCUCUCCCCAGCCCCGAGGGGUUCCUCCCCAACUUGGAGAGCUGCCAGCUUCCUCACUCAGGAGCUGGGGGGUCUGGGUGGGGGGCCAGGGGGGACUGGCAGAGUGUCCCCCGGGGGUGAAGGCGCCCCCUGGUGGACACCUGGAUGCUUGCUCCUGACCCAGGCCUUCUAGCACACUCCGGGCUCAGUGCCCUGGGAGGUGAAGGCACAGAGAGAGGCAUGGGGGCCUCGCAGUGGGGCUCCGUGCCCCUGAGUCAUUUUCCACAUGCUGCCUUGCCCUCGACACACAGACGCGCUCUCAGAGUUGGGACGGCGGCCGCCUCCCUCCAGAGCUGGGCCGGCCACCUGCCGGGUGACCCUCCUUGCUUCGAUUUCUGUCCCUAUAGCUCAGCAGCCUCCAGCUCCCCUCUCAAAGCCAGCUGCAGCCAUCUCAGGUCCCUCUGGACCCCGGGGUCCCAGCCCACCCCACCUGGCCCUGGCUUGUGGGCAGUUCUGGAACACCCUGAAUGCACCAUCAUGCCGGGCUGGGGCCGACAUUUCUGUUUUCCCUGAAGGCUCAAAGCUGCACCCCAGCCCCGCCAGGCAGAGCAGCCCAUUUGGGGUUUGACUUCGGUUAGAAAUCAGCACGCAGCCAUCUGCAGGUGAUGGAAAUGGGGCUUAAGUAACUUUUCGGUCAAGGCUUCUUGGCCAGAGCCCAGAUGGAAAUAAGAGCUCUCGUCUCCAUCUCCCUCUGCACACUUUUGGAAAAUGCGGCGGGGAGAAUCGUGGAAACUGCAGCUCCAAGCGGAGUGUGCUCUGUUUCUUGGCCCCGGAAAGGGAAAAUAAACACCCAACAGCUUCUCCAUUCAAGCGCGUGUUAUCUGGCGCAUCCUGGCCAAGAACUCGCUCCCCUCCCUGCUCCGGCCGGGAAUGACUGCGCCUCCCAAAAGCCCCGACGCCCACCCCUAACCCAGAGCAGGCAAACAAUGGGGCCAGAAACCCGGCUCAGCCAAGGCCUCUCCCUGCAGCCCCUAGAGGCCGGCACAUUGAGAAACACACGGCUAUUUUUACUGUACUGUUUGUCCACCAUCUGCAACUCCAAGGCCUGAGAAGCAGUGGUGCCUGUGGGAGGUGGCAUUGAGUUUUGUGUGUGCCUGCCUCUGUGUGUGUGUGUGUGUGUGUGUUAACUUGCUCAGACAAAGCUACAUUUUUGAAACUUCAAAAAAGCAACACCCUGCAAGAAUGAUCUUUUCCCUGGCUUGCCCUGUAGGGGACUCUCUUGGGGGGGUCUGGGAAACAGCCCCCUCCCCACUGCUCUGCCACAGGCCCCAGGUCCAGAGCGCAGAGAGCCAACAGGAGAGGGAAACCCGGAGCCGCGGAGGGGAGGUGGGAAGGGGAAGCGCGGGUCUGAGACGAGAGGGGUUGUGCAGCCAGCGGCCCGGGGCCUCCCAGUGUGAUGGGCCCCUCCCUGGGGAUCCCUCAUAGAAAAAGGGAAGGGGAUGCUGGCUGGUGGCACAGUGAACUAAGCCCCACUUGCGCCACCAGCGUCCCAUAUAGGAGCACUGGUUCAAGUCCCGGCUGCACUGCUUCCUAUCCAGCUUCCUCCUAAUGUACCUGGGAAAGUCACAGAAGGUGGCCCCUGCCACCUGCGCGGGAGACCCAGAUGGAGUUCCACGCUCCUGGUUUGGGCCUGGCCUAACCCUGGCUGUUGUGGGCACUUGGGAAAUAAACCAGUGGAUGGAGGAUCUCUCUCUCUCUCUCUCAAAUAAAAUAAAAGUAAAUAAAUAAAAAUUUAAAAGAGACCUGACUUAACCUUCUGAAAAGAACGUAUUGUAAAUGGCUGACGGGUGGCAGCGCCGGUGCCUGCGGCGUGGGCCCCUGGAUCGUAGCUGCCGUUGCUAGGAGCAGGGACUCAAAGAACUCAUGCAAGAAUAGAAUCAAAAGAUAAUGUGCAUUUUCUGUGACCUUUUAGUUUCAUCUCCUUGAAAGGCAGAGAGAGAGAGAGAGAGAUCUUAGAUCCCAUUCCGACCUGUUCUUUCCUGAGUGGUGAAAGUGUGUUGUGACUGAGUAUGUGUUAACGGGUGGUCUACAGCUCACGGGUUCACAGUGGCUGGCAGCAGGACUGGGUUGAUGUUCGCAUUGAAGCCACUGGUGGAGAGUGAGAGGUAGAUAAAGUCAGGGCCCACCCAGAACCCCGGGGCCACACCUUGGAGGAGGGUGCAGGCUUGAACCUGGGCUGGGUUGGCUGUCCGCCUGCGAUGGAGUUGGGGUGAUGAUGCCUGAGGGAGCCGCUGGAGACCCCUUGGCACAACGCCUGCCUGCAACUGCUCUCUGCCAGAGCAGUGAGGACACUCUCUGAGAACAGGGACCGCGAUGUCCAGGGGAAAGCCUGCUGUCACAGCGGCGUGCUGAGUGCGAUCCGCGGGAAGUGGGGAGGCGGGGCCGCGUGGCUGCGUUUGCUGGGAUUUACCCUGGCAAAUUCUGAAAGGACACCUGAGCAAUGAGUGCGCUAGGUCUCCUUGCAGGAGGGCACCCGGCAGGAGCAGAACGUUUAAACAUUUAAUUGGUUAAUUAAUUUUAUUUGAAAGGCAGAGAGACAGAGAAAGAAACAAGAUCUCCCAUCCUCUGGGUCACACCCCGAGAUGCCCCCGACAGCUGGAGCUGGACCGGGGGAAGCCAGGAGCCAGGAACUCAAUCCAGGUCUCCCGUGUGACUGGCAAGGACCCGGCUACUUGAGCCAGCACAUCAGCUGCUGCCUUCCAGGUGUCGCAUUAGCAGGAGGCUGGAAUUGUGGGCAGAGCCGGAAUCUGCAUCCAGGCACUCCGAUAUGGGACGCUGGCCUCCCAAGCGGCGUCAACCUCUGGCACCAGAUGCCCGCCCUCGGGAGCAGGAUUUUUGACUUUGCACCUCUUUGGCAGCCAAUGUGGACCCAUCACCCAUGAACACAGAAAAAGUGAGCUACUAAUACAAUUUUUGAUGGUCAUUUAUUUAUUUUUAUCUAUUCUCAUCUACUUGAAAGACAGAGCAAGAGACAGGGAAAAAGAGAGAGAGAGAGAGAGAGAGAGAGAGAGAGAGGUAUCUCCCACCCACUGGUUCACUCCCCAAGGGCCCACAGCGGCCAGGACUGGGCCAGGCUAAAGCCAGGAGCCAGGACCUCCAUCUGGGUCUCCCAUGUGGGUGGCAGGGGCCCAAGCAGCUGCACCGUCCUCCUCUGCCUCCCGGGCUCCAUCAGCAGGAAGCCACAUGGAAAGCAGAGCAGUCAGGACCGCAGGCAGCACCCCACCGUGGGCGCCGGUAUCCCAGGCAGCAGCCUAGCCUGUGCCCACAGCGCCUACCCGGGGCUGCUAACUCUAUUCUUCCGUCCGAGCAUCAGUGUUUUCCCAGCUGAGGAAGGAGUUCCGUGUCCUGCCUGCCUAACUGGGCUUUUCCAGGGAUUCAGAGAGGAAGCGCAGGUGAGUGCCCAGAGACGCGGAAGGCUGAGGUGAGGGUGGGGCGAGGGUGAGGAGGCGGACAAGGGAGAGGGAAGAAGGGGCCGUGGCUGCGGUAGGUCUCCCUCAGGUGGGCCCAGUGGGAUACUCGCUGAGCCGUCGUCCCUGGAGCUGAGCUCAGGUGAGUUAGACUCACCGACUGCACGCUCUGGCCCCAGCCCUGGUCUCUUUCCCCAGGCACCCAAGCAUUCCAGGGGAGGCCGGGGCUGGAGCCCUGGCUGUGACUCUUAGCACCUGGCCAGAGCUGUUGGGAGCAGGAGGAGGCCCUGGGGACACUGGGAUGUGGAUGGAUGAGCCAUUGACAGGAGGGGUGGCAAGUGUACCUGGCCCUGAGCUCGUCCACCCUGGAUCCCACUCCUGGCUGGAUGAGGAAAUUGGGGCUUAGUGAGUCUGGGGGACACGUGUGGCUGGCUGGAGAGGAGCUGGGAUUCAAUGCCGGGCAGCGUGGCUCCUCCUACCUCUUGUCGCAGCUCAGAGCUGACCACCUUUAGGUGGGCUUUGUUUCUAGAAGCAGAAUAGAAAGAACAACUUAGCUCUGAAAUCCCGCCAGCCAGGGCAGCACGUGUGGCCCCAGAACCCCUCGUCCAGGAGCUCUCCACACUAAUGAGAUGCCCAGGGCCCACGGGCAAGGACUGGGAGGCCGGGGCUUGGGACACCCCACUCCCCCGCCCCGGACUCAGUGCCCCUGGAACUGCGGGGGCACAAGGCUGGGAGAACCAAAGCGCUUUUCACAGAAUCCCAACAGGAAACCCGCGAGAACAUUCCUGCCCCGAGGAUUCCAACAGGAAAACCACGAGAACAUUCCUGCUCCUGGGCUCCAGCUGGAGCUGGAGUCUGUGUUCCCUGCGAGGAGGCUGGCCCAGGGGUGGCGGGGUCGGAGCAGAGGCUUAGCCAGCACCCCGAGGCGGAUCCAGAGUUCCUCCGAAGGCUCCCCGGCGGCCGAGGGUCACUUGGGAAGGGGCGGCUUCGUUUCCGGGCUCGCUCCCAGUGGCUGUCCGACCACACAGCUGCGCACUGCCCCUCCAAAUAUUUGCCUUUGAUUUAUUUUUAUUUUGCACUUCUAUUUUUAUUUAUUUGAAAGACAGAGACAGAGAUCUUCCAUGUGCUGGUUCAUUCCUCAAAUGAACAACAGCCCACAAGAGCCAGGACUGGGCAGGCCACAGCCAGAAGCCAGGAGCUCCAUCCAUGUCCCCUACAUGGGUGGCGGGAACCCAAGUACUUGAGUUACCGCCUGUUGCCUCCCAGGGUGUGCAUUAGCAGGGCGCUGGAAUCAUGAUUAGAACAGGGACUGGGACCCAGGCCUCUGAUUUGGGAUGUGGUAGCUUAACUGCUUGCACCUGUCCCCAAAAUGUUUGUGUUUCAAGGCCUGCCCUUCCAAGGGUCUUUGUAAUUGUACCAUACUGGGACUUGUGAACUUGUGAAGAACUUUCUGUUGAACUUAGUUGCCUUUCAAGACAACUCAGUCAGCUGCAGAGGCAGUCACACCGGCCCUGUCCAGCUUCCUGGCCUCAAGAUACUUCCAUGUUAUUUUAUUUUAUUUUUAAAUCUUGACAUCUUUUUUUUUUAAAGAUUUAUUUAUUCAUUUCAAAGGCAGAGUUACAGUGAGGCAGAGGCAGAGAGAGAGAGAGGUCUCCCAUCUACUGGUUCACUCCCCAAAUGGCUACAACAGCUGGAGCUGGGCCCAACUGAAGCCAGGAGCCAGGAGCUUCUUCCAGGUCUCCCAUAUGGGUACAGGGGACCCGAGGACUUGGGCCAUCUUCUGCUGCUUUCUCAGGCCACAGCAGAGAGCUGGAUCAGAAGUGGAGCAGCUGGGACUUGAACCAUGGGGAUGCUGACACUGUAGGUGGCAGUUUUACCUGCUACACCGCAGCGUCGGCCCCCGACACUUCCAUUUUAACCGAGGAGCACAUGGAGUGCUGAAGAGAAGUGACCAGUGCCCACAGGAACACCUGCUGCAGGCCAGGCCCUGUGCUGGGCUACGAGGCACAGUGACUCAGUUCCUCCCGCAAAACCAUCGCCUAAUCCGAGAGACCAGCAAAUCGGUGGCCGUUUCCCAGUAGGGGGAGAGUCACAACCAAGGUUUGCUCAGGAUGCAUAAAGACAGGACACCCAUCCCUGAGAGAGGAGAACAGGGAAGGCUUCGUGGAGGAAGCGACACUACCGUGUGCAGGAAGACGCCGCAGAGUUUGACUGGAAGGGCCAUGGGCCCUCAGGGGUGGGAUGCAGAGCGGUGGGCCCGGCCCCACACCUUGGUGGUGGUUAGGGUAUGGGCCGCGGGAUGGUGACAAGAGCUGAAUAAGGGCAGGGACAGGGAGCUGAGUCAGUCUGGGGCUCAGGAGGGCAGAUUCAACAUGGGCCAAGAUGGACCUGAAAGGGGCACAGGACACCCCAGAGAGCUGGCCACGCCCCAGUCUAGUGGGGACGUGUGUCUUUGCUCAGCGAAGAAGAGUGAGCGCCUCCAGGCAGGGAGAGGGCGGCAAGGAAGACAGGCAAAGAAAUCCCAUCCCUAAGGGGCACUCAGAGCUGGUGGGCUCGGACCAUACACCCAACACCUGCAUCUGCGACCGUCAGCGUCCUGGGGGACCCUUCCCCUGUGCAGGCCUCAGGGCUGAUCCAGGCCAGCGCCGAUGCAGGGGGCUGGGCCCACCCCACCCAGCAAGUCUCUAAGAGGGCCCAGGGCAGGGGGAGGGGGAGGGGGAGGCCAAGGGCACCCUGGACAGCCUCAAGCUGGGGUGGGGGGCCGAAACUGGACCAUCACCGCCCAGGGGCCGGGCAGUAGACCUGGUGCCGCAAGCGAGGAGACCGAGGGCUUUUACGACGGCAGUGGACGGGUCAGCAGGGGGCAAGGUCUUAUGGGCUCCAGAAACCAACCUUUAAAUGCCAGCAAUUCUACAGGACCAUUGUUAAAAUGUGGGCAAAAAUCAGCCGUGGCAGCAGUGCGGACCCCACGGAAAUCAGCGAAUGCUACAAAUCAAGCCUACAUUUUAUUUACUUUUUUGAUCCAGAGAGGUGGCUGAGACCAGGGUUCUUGACUUCUUUCCUCCGCGCCGUGGCUGAGCACCAUUCUGCCUCGCCUCUACCUGAAUGCUCUGACCCCCGUCUGCCACCGAGGGAUACGGGGGAGCAAGGAAGAAGCGGUCGCCGACGGAGCCUCUGUAGGGCAAAGGGCUGCGCAGAGGGAGCCGCCAUCGGGGCUGGAUUUCCUCUCGUCUUCCUGGAUGUCUGAUCUAAAUUUAGGUCCCGGGGGUCCAGGCUGAAGCCCGCCCCGCCCCUGCCUUUCCGUCCUUCCUGCAGGUGCUCUCUGUAGCACAGCCACAGGACGUCACCGCGGGAAGUCGCUCUGCCCUUUGUCGCCUCCUCCCUCUACCCCUCUACCCUCUACCCCUCCCUUGCGCCCAGAUUCCUGCAGCGGCUCCCUGCUCCUCUCCAGGUUCCCUGGGCCCUAGGCCACCCCCUCCCAGACCCAGUCACACCCCCUCAGCCACUCGCUGAGACAGCACAGCCUUCCACGCUAGGACACCCCAGGCAGACCCGGGGUCUCUCUAGGUCUCAUCUGUGCUGGGGAUCAGGCCAGCCCUCGCAGAGCCUCUGACACAGCCUGUGUGUCUUCGUGGGAGUGACAAAAACCUGGAUUAACAGGUUAACAUUCCUGAUCAUCAGGAAUGUUACUGAGGCUCUCAAGUGGGCUUUGGAACCCCAAGAUGCUGGUGUACCCUAAAUUCAUCUGAAUUCUCCCCAUCUUCCUCUUUUGGUCUUUUAGCCACAACUCCCAACAUCACAACUUCUUAAGGCUUCCUCCAGAGUCCGGAGGAUCAGGAUGUAGGGUGAUGGCCAAAGUUGGAAGCUGGAGCAUUUAGCCCAUAUCCCGUACUAGAGUGAUCUGUGUCCUGGCUGCUCUGCUUCCAAUCCAGCUUCCUGCUAAUGUGCACAGCAGAGGCGUCAGAGGAUGGCUCACUCCUGCGGGAAACUUGCAUGGAGCUCCUGGCUCCUGAUUUCAGCCUGGCCCUGCCCUGUGUUGAGGGCAUUUGGGAAGUGAACCAGUGGAUGCAAAUCUCCCUCUGUGUCAGGCACUGUUUCUCUACCUUCCAAAUAAACCGUAAAUAAAUAACUU